ACGGGGCGCAGCAGGCGCGAAAACUCUGCAAUGCGCGAAAGCGUGACAGGGGAACUCCAAGUGUGCCUGUAAAACAGGCACUUUUGCGGUAUGUAAAAAGUACCGAGAAUAAGGGGUGGGCAAGACUAGUGCCAGCCUCCGCGGUAACACUAGCAUCCUCAAGUGGUAGUCGCGAUUAUUUGGCUUAAAGCGUCCGUAGUCGGACUGUUAAGUCCUCUGUGAAAUCCUGCGGCUUAACCGUAGGGCUUGCAGAGGAUACUAGCAGUCUUGGAGCCGGGAGAGGUUGGGGGUAUUCCUAGGGUAGCGGCGAAAUGCUAUAAUCCUAGGAGGACCACCGAUAGCGAAGGCACCCAACUAGAACGGGCUCGACGAUGAGGGACGAGAGCUAGGGGAGCAAACCGGAUUAGAUACCCGGGUAGUCCUAGCCGUAAACGAUGCAGGCUGAGUGUCUCCUGAGCCUCGCGUUCAGGAGGUGCUGAAGGGAAACCGUUAAGCCUGCCGCCUGGGGAGUACGGUCGCAAGGCUGAAACUUAAAGGAAUUGGCGGGGGAGCACCACAAGGGGUGGAGUCUGCGGUUCAAUCGGAUACAACGCCGAGAAACUUACCAGGGGUGACGGCAGUAUGACAGCCAAGCUGAUGACUUUGCUUGACGAGCCGAGAGGUAGUGCAUGGCCGUCGUCAGCUCGUACCGUGAGGCGUGCGGUUAAGUCCGUUAACGAGCGAGACCCGUGCCUCUAUUUGCUACCGGCUCCGUGAGGGGCUGGGCACUAUAGAGGGACCGCUGGCGAUGAGUCAGAGGAAGGCGCGGUCGACGAUAGGUCUGUAUGCUCCGAAUCUCCUGGGCUACACGUGGACUACAAUGGCACGGACAAUGGGAUGCGACGCUGUAAGGUGUAAGCCAAUCCCCUAAACCGUGUCUCAGUUCGGAUCGAGGGUUGAAACUCACCCUCGUGAAGGUGAAAUCCCUAGUAAUCGCUGGUAACUAUCCAGCGGUGAAUAUGUCCCUGCUCCUUGCACACACCGCCCGUCAAACCAACCGAGUGAAUCUAGAACGAGGCCUUCUCAUCGGGGAGGGUCGAGUUCUAGGCUCGCAAGGGGGGUUAAGUCGUAACAAGGUAGCCGU
rnacentral:rRNA from 1 species